GUCGCAACCUCACUCGUAGCUUUGCACCUGGACGGCAUACUAGGAUCUAGGGAUAAAAGGGCUGAGCAUCCAAAGGCGGGACGCUGCAUUCCUCAGUGUGCUCUCACCAACACUAAACACAUCGGAACCUUUAACGAGCAGAAGACCACGCUGGACCACUGGACCGGUGGUGAGGAAAUCGAAUUUGAACACGCCUUUAGCUACCUGUGUGCCUCCAAGGAUUAAUAUCAGGAAAGCCCUCUUCAGGCGGCUCCGACAGGUGCUGAAUGGAAGAAGACGCCUCACCCACCCCCAAGCUAGCACAGCUUAAGUGUGUUGGCUUCACAUACAUGCUGGUCCAGCUUAUAUGUCUUCUAGUAAUAUCCAUUUUCCUCUCCCACGAGUUGUGGGAGAUGGCUCUCCGCUAGAUAGUGCCGAGAUAUGUGACCUUGGGAAGGCCCUUCACUUUCUCUGGCCUCAGUUUCUUGAUACUGAGUAUCAAGUAAAAAGUAGAUACAAUUUUAUAUCUCUGAGUUUUAUGUCCCUUUCUGAAGACAUGGUAAGAAAUAAAAAUCUCAGCGGUAACACCA